ensembl:snoRNA small nucleolar RNA SNORD67
UGCGAGAGUGAUGAGUUGCACAUUUGGUGGAGCUGAGUGUUGGUGACACAAGUGCCACUCAGAACCUCCCUGGUGACAAAGCCAAGUGCACAGGGGCCAUCUGACUCGCU